GGGCCAGUGGCUAAUGGAAAACGCGCCUGACUACGGUGGAUCAGAAGAUUCUAGGUUCGACUCCUGGCUGGCUCG